ACUUUUUUUUUUCUUUUACCAUUUGAUUGUGAAAUGUUAUUAUUAUUCUUGUGAGUAUGGAUUUAAAUCAUGGUGAAAUUGUUUAUUUAAAUGUUACGAUUGUGGGUUUGAUGUUUGACUUGAGUUGGGUUUUUGAUGUUUGUUGAAGGAGAUGAAAAUCUGGGUUACUUUGGUGAAAUAGAUGGUGGAAGAAGAACUAAUUGACCUACCAAACUGAAUAAAAUUAUUUUGGUUUGAUUGUUGGUCUCUUUAAUUCAAUUCGAAACCAAAUCGACCGUUGCACAUCCGUAGAGUUUGGUUGGUCCAAGUUCUGUCCAAGCCAAAUUUGCAUAUUCUUGUUUGGACUCCUAACCUAGUCUAAUUGGCAAUUAUUUUACUGGCGGGACUUGGGGGUUCCUCUUGCUCAAUCCAAUGCAGGGCAUUCUAAAUGCAGGGCAUUCUAAGCAUUGCAUGGUUAUGUGGAUUUCAUGGUCUCUUGUGGUUCUAAAGAUAAUCGGACAAAAAAAAAAAAGAGUAAUCGUUCUGUUGUUUGAUCAGAUAUGGCCACAUGAUUGACAAUGU
rnacentral:misc_RNA from 1 species